CAGUCGCCACGGGAAUACGGAGGGCGCGAGCGUUACCCGGAUUUACUGGGCGUAAAGGGCGUGUAGGCGGCCUGGGGCGUCCCAUGUGAAAGGCCACGGCUCAACCGUGGAGGAGCGUGGGAUACGCUCAGGCUAGAGGGUGGGAGAGGGUGGUGGAAUUCCCGGAGUAGCGGUGAAAUGCGCAGAUACCGGGAGGAACGCCGAUGGCGAAGGCAGCCACCUGGUCCACUUCUGACGCUGAGGCGCGAAAGCGUGGGGAGCAAACCGGAUUAGAUACCCCCGUAGUCCCUGUCUCUUAUAU
rnacentral:rRNA from 1 species